rnacentral:tRNA from 1 species
GGGUAUAGCUCAAGUGGUGGAGAGCAUGCUUAGCAUGCACAAGGUCCUGGGUUCAAUCCCCAGUACCUCCA